UACGAAGGGGGCUAGCGUUGUUCGGAUUUACUGGGCGUAAAGCGCACGUAGGCGGAUCGUUAAGUCGGGGGUGAAAUCCUGGAGCUCAACUCCAGAACUGCCUUCGAUACUGGCGAUCUCGAGUCCGGAAGAGGUGAGUGGAACUCCGAGUGUAGAGGUGAAAUUCGUAGAUAUUCGCAAGAACACCAGUGGCGAAGGCGGCUCACUGGCCCGGUACUGACGCUGAGGCACGAAAGCGUGGGGAGCAAACAGG
rnacentral:rRNA from 1 species